ACUCCGGAUCCUAACUAGCCCUUUGACGUCCUUCAAUGUCUGCACCCCCAAGAACCUGCUAGGCUACCUUGGCGUGGAGGUGGCAGGUGAGCCUCCGGACUAGACUCACCUGCCGCAAGUCACUGCGGCUCGUCGGCCCCUCCCCCGCGCGCCUGCCCUGGGGUUCAGAUUACCUGCGCGGACUCUCUCCCCGAGAGGUAGAAGCCCUAGGGGACCGGGAGGGGCACCCUGCCGCACCCGAGACUUCUAGGGCGAGUUCGCAGGUGUGGGCUCCGCAGUGCCUCCUCUCCCAGCGCAGACCAAGGCGAAGCUGGGCUUCGGGGAAGGACGCAUUUCUCCCUCGCCGCCCCCCGCGGUUGUGUAGAGCCCCAAGACUUGAAGAUGGGGGGCAAUGCCUGUUCACGAUCGUUGCUGCACGACCCCUCACGCAGAUUUCCAGGAAGUUACUGUGGCCUUCACGACUUGACUGGAGGAGACAUGAGAUAAAUAAGCAGAAGAACAAAUAAAAGUGCCUGAGAUCAGGACUGUGAGGAACGUAAGACAACACCCCGAGAUUGAGUAGCUGUCCUGAAGGAGAGAGUGGCAGGGACAUCACUGGCCUACUUUACAUGAGAUGGCCAAGGAAGACCCCUCAAGAGCUGGAAUUUGGGCUGAGACAUAAAGAAAAGAAGGGCUGGCAUUGCUAUCCACUCCAGAAGGAAGAUGGGAACAGAAGAAGGAUGGAGCUGAGAGCGUUUAGAGAGUAGGAGAAAAGGAGAUUGAGAUGAGAGUACAGAAUGGGCAGGGCCGGGAGACAAGAAACCUCCUGAGCCAAAAAUAGAGUCAGUGAAGACACUGUACCAGUGGUGACUAUUGUACUUGCAAUUUUUUUUUUUAGAGAAUUUUGUUUAUUAAUCAUUCAACCACAGUAACCCAAAUUUCAUAUUCUCUGCACCUGCUCUAAGAAGAAAGAAAAUAAAAACAAGCUGUGUUCAAUGUUGGUGAGUUCCUGUCUAAGCCCCUGAGGCUGAACUGAGAUUUGACCUUUCUACCCCACGAGGCCUGAACUCUGACGUUGCAAGUGGGGUGAGAUAUUGGGUUGAAAAUUGUCUCUCCUGGAAUGUAUACAACAGGGGAUCAAAGAACUCUGUGGUUAAGCAAUCUAGACUUCUGUCUAUCCCCAGGCUGGGCCUCAUGCUCACCAACAUAAUAGCAUUUUCUCAAAUGCAGCUACCUCCAUAGCACCCUACAUCCCCAAACCCCUAGGCUGAUCGGUACCCAUUCUCCCUGAGGGUUUCUGGCCCUCUUGUAAAGUGAACAGUGGUAGAGUGGAGUGAUAACUUGAUGUUCCUUGUGUUUGCCAAUCAUGUGAUGCUAGAGUUGUCUCUUCUCCAUGCUGGGCCUGGUGUCUCAGCCUUUCAGGUAAUGCUGAUGCUCUCUGUCACGACAGAGAUGUUCAAGGAAAAUCUAUGUGCAGGAGCAUCCUGUAAAUCCUAAAGGCCAUGUGCACGCUGGGCAUGAUUCACAGCCCAUGAUGACUUUGUGUAAGGAGUAGGAGAGCCUCCUGCUGUGGGCCUCUUUGUAACAAAUCUCCGCACACUCCUGAUGUUUGUGUGUCCCCAGCCAGCGUGUUAAGUCCAAAGGACGUAUGAGUCCUACUCAUUAUCAAGGAAGAGGCUAGGCCCUGCUGCCUCCAAGUCUGGUUUUCACAAUGAAUCAAACAGAGUCGAAGGAGGGGUAGAGUACUCCCAUCCUGUGUGUGUUUGCUUGGCCUGUAACCAGCAAAUCUCAGUGACCAGCUAAUUUUGCUUUGCUAGGAACUUGAAUGGUUUUAGUCCUGAACACUUCUGGCCAAAGCUAAUGGCAAUAGUGGUCAUCCGACCUGGGUGCCUCCCUGUCUUGGUCAUUGCCCUCCACCCUGAACAAAGAGCUGUCAUGAGAACUGGGUUAGGUAUGUUACAAUGAUGGAAAAGAGUGGGUACAGAAAGCAGGGAAAAUUGAGUUUUCAGAGAUGCUGCUUUUAACAGAGACUAGGGCAGACGGUCAUCCAAUCAAAGAGACUAUUAGAUGAACACUUAUUCUGUCUUUUGUUCAUUUGUUAUAAGUUUCAUUCCCUGGGAUAGGUGAUACCCACUGUACCCAUGUCACCUUUGAGAGCUAUUCAUCUGUAGCUCUGUUCCCAGCCUGCCAGACUUUGGCUACGAAAUCAAUGUAGGAGUGUUACACACUGACACAGUUCCAGAUUAAGGAGAGAGGUACCAGAGGCUGCCUAAUCAUGAGAUAUUUUUUUUCUUUCUUUCUGUUUCAUUUUUUCUUAGAUAACUAGGCCAGACUCUUUCCAACAGGAAGGGCAUGAGUUACUCUGCAGAUGGACAGAGACAAGACAGGGGGGCCCCUUAGCAGAAGCUAGAGCUGCACCUGCACCCUGGGACCUCAAGCCAUCCCACCUACUGCUCACACAUUUCUCUUGCUAUCAGGCUGUCUCGGAGAGAGAAGAGAUGGAGCCGGUCCUCCAUCAGGCCCACUGCUUCAGGGGGCCCUGUGAUCAUAUUGUUGAUGUUGCCGGAAAUGUGAUUUGUGCUCAGGAGUCUGAGAUUGUAGCUGGGCUCCCUCAGGAGCCUCAUGAAAAAUGCAUUUCACCAGGCGGUUCCAGGGGAGAGACUGGCUUAAAUUACAGCUCUAGGAAUCCAAAUAUUGGCAUAUCUGCAAAUCCAAAUGUGAGGGGGGGGGGGGACCUAAAUUCCAAGAAUCUCAUUCUGCACUUUUUGUGUGCAAAAGGGGUGAUGGGAUUCAGAAAGGGGAGAUUCAGAGGCUUCAGAAGAGAACACCCCAACUCUUCCACCCUUUUCUCUCCCCAUGCAUCCUGCAUGCCUUCAAAGAAACAGGCUGUGACACAGAGGAGAAGGUAGCAUUUGUUCAGUGUGACAGUUUUUAGUACAGGUGGGGCACAGGAGGGCUCAGCCAUCUCUGUCUGCCCCUCCCUGUACAGUUUUCUGGAUCUAGGAUGAAGGUUUCUUAUGGAUCAGUAACGGCACUACAGUCAUUCACAACCCAGCAGGGUGAGGGAUCCUGCGCCACUGUGAGAGAAGCCAAGUUAUUUCUCUGCUCAAAAUCCUCAUCUGCCUUAGAGAGGGGUGGGGUGUUCCUACUGUAGGCUCCAAGGUCAUUUCACUAGUUUUCUCCUCAUCACAAGACAAGAUGGCCCUUCAUUAUUCCCUUCCCCCAUGGCAAGUGCACAUCUCCCUCAGAAUCUAAACUUUUCUCAUUCCUUCUGCAUGGAGUACUUACUUGUCCCUGCAAAGCUCAUCAGACUCUGUUCAGUCUUCACUAAGAUACCAGCUUCCAGAUACAUAUUCCCUGACAACAUUAUUUUAAAAUCCCUAGACUUCUCAUACAUGCUCUUGCGUACAGCAGUGACUUAGAUGUGGACCCAAGGGGGUCUGUGGCUUGGUAUUGAAGAGAUGGUAUCUUUAAAUAGUGAAACUUCCUGGAAGAUGGUUAGAUCAUUGGUGACACUUCCAGUGGAAGGAAUUGUGAUAAUUCUAGAUUCCUGAUUUGUUCCCAAGAGAGUGAGUUGUUAUAAGAGCAAGCCUGAUUGGCUUCCUGUCUGAUCAUGUGACCUCUCCCCUGCACGUGCUACAGCUAUAGUGGUGGCAUCCAUCACAAGGCAUGAGUCAAGCAGAAGCUGGGACCAUGGUCUUUAUCCUGUAAAAUGGAGUAAAUAAACCUUUUUCUUUGGAAGUACCCAGCCUUAGAUGUUUUGUUACAGCCAUGGAAAUAGAUGAUCAUAACCCAUUUCUGUUCUGUUAUAUAUUAUUUAAACUAUGUAUUUAUUUCCUUUUCUUAUUUUGUAUAAGUUAGUAACUUGAUUUGGUUGUCAUAGCUCAUAUAUUAUAAGAUCUGAAUUAUAGUUGAUUGAAUAAUUGACAGUAUCUUUAUGGGGCAUCUCUAUCCCUCUUCACAAUAUAAUUUCUCUUUAAUUUACAGGGGGACUAUCAAGCUCUAAAAUUUAAGUAACUGCCUAUAUUGUAACCAGCACAAUAGUCCAGAAAUCUGGGCUUCAGACAGGUCUUUGAACUGGACUUGGGUGCAUCAAGAAAUAUAACCUUGUGCUACCUUGCAUGGUAUCUACCAGUC
ensembl:processed_transcript 9930014A18Rik RIKEN cDNA 9930014A18 gene